rnacentral:lncRNA from 1 species
GUCCAGCCUUGCUACUUGGGCUCUGGUGGUGACAAGCCUUUCAAACAGCUCUCAAUAUUGUACAGAUAAAAAUACCUCAUUUACACAGAGGACAUAUACAUAUUUUGUUAUUAGACCAGUCAAAGUCAACUUUUCAAUGACAUCUUAUUGAUUAGUAAGAGAUAUCUGACCUGAAAAUCCACUUUGUUCCUAUGCAGAUGAGAUGAAUGGCAGAUUAAAAAGCAAUAAUUUCCUUUGAGAAAAACACACAGCACAUGGAGAACUUCUUCUGAAUUUGAAAACCUUUAUUUUACUUCCUAGGAAAAGAAAAAAAAUAGCUUAUGAGACAACCAAAAAAUAUAACAGACACGAGUAAAAGGUAAGACUUAAAAUGUUCUGCUGAGAUUGAUUGCAUCUGAAGUUGUUACAUCAAGCUGGAGCCUCUCCACCAAAUCUAUCAAAAGAAGCUGUCUGACUUUUUGUCUGGUGCCUGCAACACUGAUUGCUCUGCUGACCCCUGAGCAGUCAGAGGAUCCCAAAGGUCAUACAAGCGGCAGCAGGACUAGCCACAGAGGGUACUGUCUCAUCAAACUCGACUGUCUGAUCCAUUCCUUAAUGGGCAUGCAAAUAAUGCAGUAACCGGAGAUGAUGUAAGGCAGCACAUCUGACAUAUCUUAGUAGGUUAACAAAUCACAGUCUGUCCUGAGCUGCAUGAAAACCAAGAAAUCAUAAAUCUAUAGACAAAGUAAAAUUGUAAUUUACUCGAGUUCUAUAUUUAUACAAUACAUGUGAUCUACAUCAGCCACGAGAUACUUUUCUGUGUUCUUAUAUUGAGCAAAUAGCCACAUAAGCACAACUCAUUGACUGUGCAUAUAAACUUCACAAGCCAUGUUGCAGGUAUAAGUUUGAAAUCCUCUUUUUUUAUGUACCUGUCCACACUAUGCUCAGUUGCCUUAGCUGUUCACACGAUCUAUAGAUUGGGAAUUCUGACUGAUAAUUUCAGUAAAUACCAUUGAAAAAUAAAUCCAUAUAAAAGUUCCA